UAAGCAGAGUAUGAAAUAUCACGGCUCAACCGUGAAACCGUAUUCUGAACUGGUAGACUAGAGGAUGAGAGAGGUUAUUGGAAUUUCUUGUGUAGGAGUGAAAUCCGUAGAUAUAAGAAGGAACACCGAUGGCGUAGGCAGAUAACUGGCUCAUACCUGACACUAAGGCACGAAAGCGUGGGGAGCAAACGGGAUUAGAUACCCCGGUAGUCCACGCCGUAAACUAUGGAUGCUA
rnacentral:rRNA from 1 species